GAAGAUUGCUUCAUUAUCAGUGGAAUAAAAUUGCUCUUCUCCUUGUCUGGCAUCUAAUUUUAUAUAGAGAAUGCUGUUGUUAUGACAAAGAUUAUGAAAUACAUGUUUGAGUUACUGAGAUAGGUGUUCUUGAGAUGAAAAGCUCUAUGUAUAGAGGAGCUAACCAUAAAGAUCCCUGCCCAAGGCCAAACCUAUGUAUGUUGAUAAAGACUAGUUUUAGGCAAAAAGCAAUUUUUAACACUUUUUUCCUUUAGCCUUAGUUCUAUUGAGAUACAAUUUAAAGGAAUAUUUUGAGAGAAAAUGGAGAGAUUAUGAGGAAAUGUAUACUUUUUACAUUUUCUUCUCAUGUGCAAUUUGUCAGGCUAUUUUUACUCAAAGAUUAAAUCUACAAAUUUUCAGCUCAAAGUUUGAUUUGAUGAUAAAAAUGUAAUAACUGAGAAAUUAUUUUGCAGGUUCUACAAAAGUAACUGUUCUACUGAUUAACGAGUUGAGGCUCUACCAUAACCGUUCUAACUAAGAUGUGCACAGGGAAUUUUCUCAGGCGCGCAAGAAUGACACAAAGCGAAGCUGAUUUCCCCGAACAGAUAGAAGAGCAACGUGAUGAAGCCGAAGUGGUGGCGUGGGAGAUUGCGCUCCUGCCACAGCGGAAGAAAGCCCGACUUGAAAGGGAAGCACCGGCAUUUGCCGCCCGAGAUGAAAGCUGCUGGGAUAAAAAUGACAUUUCUGUAAGGAAACCUAAGCCACUAUUCUUUGCCUUCAGGGACCUGUUUAAGGAGACUUAUGAAUUGUUCAGGUAUUGUAAGUGCCAGCCAAUGCAGAUUUUAGCUGCGCUUCCUUGCCCUGCAACCCUCCUACUGCUUCAAAGUAAAUAG
rnacentral:lncRNA from 1 species